UGCAGUUAUCACCGCGAUUUACAUGCGAUCACAAUGCCUCUGCAAGACCAGCGUCGCGUAAAAACCCGAAAGUUGUCGGUACUAUUAUUUAAGAAGUUUUAAUUAAAAAUGUAUAUAUAUAAAUAAGGUUGAUUCGGUAUCAUAUCGGAAUAUCCCCGAAAUUGUGUUUAAAGUUAUAGUUUUCUUUAGGAAAAAGGUAAGUGUAAGAACUGAAAAAGCUUUCAUGGCUUUUAUCUAGUGAAAAAGAGUGUGUUUGUUUGUGUCUUGAAGCGGGCGCGUGUGUAAAAUAAUGUGUGUGUGAAAAAGAAUGUGCGUAAUUUCGUCUUUAAUCGGGUUAAUGAAAAAUUCGUAAUACGCUGGCAAAUCAAGAAGGAAAAAGAAAAUCAGAAUUUCGACAAGACACACACAAUAUUUUUGAGCUGCCUCUCUAACGAGUCCCUGGCGAUUGUCU